UGGGGAAUUUUGGACAAUGGGGCGAAAGCCUGNUCCAGCAAUGCCGCGUGUGUGAAGAAGGCCUUCGGGUUGUAAAGCACUUUUGUCCGGAAAGAAAUCCUUGGCUCUAAUACAGUCGGGGGGAUGACGGUACCGGAAGAAUAAGCACCGGCUAACUACGUGCCAGCAGCCGCGGUAAUACGUAGGGUGCAAGCGUUAAUCGGAAUUACUGGGCGUAAAGCGUGCGCAGGCGGUUUGCUAAGACCGAUGUGAAAUCCCCGGGCUCAACCUGGGAACUGCAUUGGUGGCUGGCAGGCUAGAGUAUGGCAGAGGGGGGUAGAAUUCCACGUGUAGCAGUGAAAUGCGUAGAGAUGUGGAGGGAAUACCGAUGGCGAAGGCAGCCCCCUGGGCCAAUACUGACGCUCAUGCACGAAAGCGU
rnacentral:rRNA from 1 species